UUUUGAAGUGCUUCAUGUGCUGAUACUUCUAAAUUGUUCUUAUUUCUGUUACAGAAAGAAGAUUCUGACCUCAAAACCACCUUUUAAGAAUGCACAUUGAGGAUAUGGUUGAAGGAGGUGGUGGUGGAGAUGAUAGUUAACCAAGAAGUGUAGUACCCUGAUGAAUAAGCAGGUUAAUCAAAGUGAAGGGAAAAUGAUAGCCAAACCUUGUAGCUCUCCCAAGACCCCAUAUUCAUAGAAAAUUUACUUAAAGGCACAGUCCUCAGCAUUCUGUUGUCUCGUUAUAAUCUUACAUUGAACUCAGAGCAGUUCUCUUCAGGCCAUCACAGCUUGAUAAAGAAAAACUAAAGAAAGCCUGGAGGCAUCCUUAAUUGGCUUAGAACCUUAAAAAAUUAGUUCUCAAAGUACAACUUCUUUAAAUAACCUACUUUGCAAGAAAGAAUUGUUGCUUGCAAAACAGCAGAAUGAGGUGACAACCUGGGAAAAUGUGUAUUACUUUUUACAUUAAGAGAGGGAGAGCUGGAAUAGCCUUCAGAUGUAUUAAAUAAGAGUAUCCAAGACUUCCUGUUGAUUUUGAUCUGCCCUACUAGCCCAGGAUCUUUCCUCCCAAGGUGCCAACAGGCUCCUGUUGUCUGCUCCUUCACCCCAGAUUUAAUUUAUUGCUGCCAUAGGAGUAUGAAAAGAAAGAUGUGGAUGGCAAGAAACCAUGAAGAAAGCUGAAGGUACACGUAGAAUAAAGGAGCCUGCAAAGACUCUCAGGUGGGAGACUAUGACACAGAGGGUGAAGUGACCUGGAUGAAGUCUGUCAGCAGCCAACCUGAGCUCCAAACCUACAAGCUUCAGCUUACCAGCUCCCUGCUUCAUAAGACCUUUGUAUUGUGAAAAGACAUGGUUACCUCACCAAGUGUGAUGAAAGCAUGUGAAAAUUUGAGCAGUAGAUCCAGAAACUAUGUGGCGUGCCACCUACACAGCAGAAGAGUGGCUGGCAGGAGGAUCCCUUUCCUGGACUGCGCUGCUAACAUGGCCUUGUGUUGUGUGUCCCCCAUACCUUGGAGCAGCUCUUGACUAAUUGUAGCCUCUGUAGUUAAUUACAACCCUGAUUCUGGUCCACCCAGGUACUCUGUUGCUAACAUCUGGGGUCCAAGAUUUCACAAACAUGUCAGGCAUUUAAACUGGCUCUGUACUUCUGACAAAUUUUUGGAUCCAGUGUUUCUCUGAAAUGGCUUUACCUGUUUCAGAUGCAGGACACAGCCUUUCUCCUCCUACUUCCAGUUAAUUUUUCCUUCCAAAUAAGUGACUGUGCGGAAGUGUUUGAGCUGAAAUAGUCACUGAGUGACAGAAGUUGAGGCAUCAAGGGCUGAUGCUGUGAGAUGCUUCCAGGACAGCCUGUAUUGGUCAGUGAGUACCAGCCAAAGGAGGUGAAGUCUGAAGCUGAAGACUGACUGUUCAGAAGGAGGUGCCAAGCAUUGCUUCCCAAAAGCAGGACUUUGGCAGGGGGCUGUUUCAACAGCUUCUCAUAAGAUCCGCAUUUCAUUAUCUGGUUUUGAGUCCUGCCUUAGAUACCACACAGUUCUUACACUCUCCCAUCAUCUUAGCCAGUCUUUUUCCUUUGUUUAAUCACCUUAAGUCUGUUCUCAAUGGAAACUCUAAAUUAAUGAAAGAAUAAAAAACCAAGAAAAUUUAAGAAGGAAGCAUUCAGCUGUGAGUGUUCAUCUGUGGCAUGGACAUUUACA